CCCUCAUUGAGCAAGAAAGCAUAAGUGGGUUCCAGAGAUGCGAAGUUGCCUGGCUGCCUCCCCCAGCACUGCAGACGUGUGAAGCUUUCUAUAAAUGGAUGGAAGCCCUGGUGCAAGGCAGUGCACUGUCUGCUCUAUGGAAGACUCCUUGUCUGAUCAAGCUCACCCCUGAAGCAGCUUGCUAUGAUUUUAGAGUUAACUGCAGAGCAAAGAGGAAGCCCCAGAGCCCCAUCCAGGUUCCAGAGGGCAAUGAUUCCAUGAAAAGCUGGGUUACACUCACUCACAAUGACUGCACUGGCAAAAUGUCAGGAUUAGAUAGGAAGGUGAGGCUUGAUCUCUGCACACAUUUUCCUAUGCCCACAAGAAGUGCCCCUUUGGGAGGUGAACAUGGUAUAUAGCAAAGAAGUUCCCGAGAGUAACCUGGUAGGCCUUAGAACUCAUCAAUUUUCUGACCUCAAAUGGUUUCCCCAGAAGUUACAGCUGCAAAGAUAAAAUAGGAAUUUCCUUAAUACCCAGAAGUGAUUCUGAGUUGCACUUAAGAAAGUGAGGAGGAAAAAAAAAGAGCUUUUUGUGAUCGUGAUUUAUUCUAUCACACUGUUAUUUCUCUUUAAUCUCUUUCUUCAGGAAAGACACCCAUUUUAUUUUUUGUAGUUGAACUGACUUUAGAUUAAUGACCACUUAAUUGAAUAACUUUUUAUCAUUUUUGAGAUUAAAAUCUAUUCUGUUCCAAUAAUAUAAUAAUAAUUCUGUUUUUAUCCUUAGGCAUAAUUUUCAUGGUCUUUUACUUAAGCACUUUUAAUCAAGUUCUCAUUAAGUAGUUAUGAGAGUGUGUGUGUGUGUGUGUGUGUGGAGAGAGGGAGAGAAAGAGAGGUGAAAGUAGAGUCUUUGAGUUUUUCUUACUGUUUUAUCUCUUUUCAUGUUUAACUGCAGUAUCAAUUACAUAAUUCAUUUUUCAAGAUUAAUUUAUCUUACCUAUAAUGUGCGUGAUCUAGAUUUACUAAUUUUUGGCACUUAACGUAUAUUAAAACUUAAAUGCUAGUUUUGAAAAGUAAAACCAUUAUACAGAUAAUCAAUUGAUGUAUUAAUAUCAACAACAUGGAUUCAUUCUCACAUCAUAUCUAUUAAAUCCAUGGUAUUCAGUGCA
rnacentral:lncRNA from 10 species